rnacentral:rRNA from 1 species
UGGGGAAUAUUGCACAAUGGGCGAAAGCCUGAUGCAGCAACGCCGCGUGAGUGAUGAAGGCCUUCGGGUUGUAAAGCUCUGUCUUUGGGGACGAUAAUGACGGUACCCAAGGAGGAAGCCACGGCUAACUACGUGCCAGCAGCCGCGGGAAUACGUAGGUGUCAAGCGUUGUCCGACUUUACUGGGCGUAAAGGGUGCGUAGGUGGAUAUUUAAGUCAGAUGUGAAACCCCCAGGCUCAACCUGGGAACUGCAUUUGAAACUGGAUAUCUGGAGUGCAGGAGAGGUAAGGGGAAUUCCUAGUGUAGCGGUGAAAUGCGUAGAGAUUAGGAAGAACACCAGUGGCGAAGGCGACUUACUGGACUGUAACUGACACUGAGGCACGAAAGCGUGGGUAGCAAACA